rnacentral:rRNA from 1 species
AUGUCUAUGAUGAGUGAACUCAAAUUCUUUCUCAGUUUGCAAAUCAAGCAAACUAAGGAAGGUACCUUUGUCUCUCAAACGAAGUACACCAAUGACUUAUUCAAGAAGUUCAAUAUGCAAGAAUGCAAAGGUAUGACUACACCCAUGCCUACUAGUGGACAUCUUGAUUUGACCAAAGAUGGUGAACCGGUUGGUCAAAAGGUUUAUCGCUCUAUGAUUGGUUCAUUGUUAUAUCUAUGUGCCUCUCAUCCUGAUAUUAUGCUAAGUGUAUGCAUGUGUGCACGAUAUCAAGCUGCUCCUAAAGAGUGUCAUCUUAAGGCUGUGAAAAGGAUGGUGAGAUACCUAAUCCAUACACCAAAUUUUGGCAUUUGGUAUCCUAAGAGGUCCUCUUUUGAUCUUGUUGGCUACUCCAAUUCGGACUAUGCCGGAGACAAGGUUGAUAGAAAAUCCACUUCGGGUACUUGUCAAUUCCUUGGUAGAUCUCUUGUGUCUUGGUCUUCCAAGAAACAAAACUCGGUAUCCUUAUCCACCACCGAAGUGGAAUACAUUGCCGCUGGUUCAUGUUGCGCUCAAUUACUUUGGAUGACCCAAACUCUUAAAGAUUAUGGGAUAUAUGUGAAACAUGUUCCAUUGCUAUGUGACAAUGAAAGUGCUAUUAAGAUUGCUCACAAUCCCGUGCAACAUUCUCGAACUAAGCAUAUUGAAGUUCGUCAUCAUUUCAUUCGAGAUCAUGUUGCAAAAGGGGACAUUAACCUUAAGCAUGUUCGCACCGAUAAGCAAUUGGCAGAUAUAUUCACUAAACCACUUGAUGAGAAAGUGUUUUGCAGGUUGAGAGGUGAAUUGAACAUCAUUGAUGCUUCAAACUUGGAGUAG